CCCACGGGUGGCAGCAGUGAGGAAUAUUGGUCAAUGGCCGGAAGGCUGAACCAGCCAAGUCGCGUGAGGGAAUACGGCCCUAUGGGUCGUAAACCUCUUUUGUCAGGGAGCAAAGGCGUCCACGAGUGGACGAAAGGAGAGUACCUUAAGAAAAAGCAUGGGCUAACUCCGUGCCAGCAGCCGCGGUAAUACGGAGGAUGCGAGCGUUAUCCGGAUUUAUUGGGUUUAAAGGGUGCGUAGGUGGCGUGUCAAGUCAGCGGUAAAAUUUCGGGGCUCAACCCCGUCGUGCAGUUGAAACUGACACCCUUGAGUGAGUGAGAAGUAAGCGGAAUGCGUGGUGUAGCGGUGAAAUGCAUAGAUAUCACGAAGAACGCCGAUUGCGAAGGCAGCUUACCGGCGCUCAACUGACGCUGAGGCACGAAAGUGUGGGUAUCGAACAGGAUUAGAUACCCCAGUAGUC
rnacentral:rRNA from 1 species